rnacentral:rRNA from 1 species
UACGGAGGGGGCAAGCGUUGUCCGGAUUUAUUGGGCGUAAAGAGCGUGUAGGCGGCCAGACAAGUCUGCUGUGAAAACUCGAGGCUCAACCUCGAGCUGUCGGCGGAAACUGUCUGGCUAGAGUCCGGAAGAGGAGAGUGGAAUUCCUGGUGUAGCGGUGAAAUGCGCAGAUAUCAGGAAGAACACCGAUGGCGAAGGCAGGUCUCUGGGCAUUAACUGACGCUGAGGAGCGAAAGCAUGGGGAGCGAACAGG